GCGUCUCAAUCGCUGAAUUCCGUAGGAAACGGAAGCGGGGGAACCAAUGAAGCGAAUGGAACUGAGUAGAAAGUCAGCAGCCACCGUUCGCAUGGGGUGAAUCCGGCACAGGAUUGCUGUUCCUGGCUGGUAGGGCGACUCUUCGCGCCCGAAUCCGUCAGCUAACCUCGUAAGCGUACGGGAGAGGCGCG
rnacentral:sRNA from 1 species